rnacentral:rRNA from 1 species
UACAGAGGGUGCAAGCGUUAAUCGGAAUUACUGGGCGUAAAGCGUGCGUAGGUGGUCUGUUAAGUCAGGUGUGAAAUCCCUGGGCUCAACCUGGGAACUGCAUUUGAUACUGGCGGACUGGAGUGUGGUAGAGGGUGGUGGAAUUCCCGGUGUAGCGGUGAAAUGCGUAGAUAUCGGGAGGAACAUCAGUGGCGAAGGCGGCCACCUGGACCAACACUGACACUGAGGCACGAAAGCGUGGGUAGCAAACAGG